GCCGAGGUGGCGGAAUUGGUAGACGCACCAGGUUCAGGUCCUGGCGGUGGCAACAUCGUGGGGGUUCGAGUCCCUUCCUCGGCACCA
rnacentral:tRNA from 2 species